rnacentral:lncRNA from 1 species
UUUUUAAAGUAUCCCUCUGUGUCACCCAGGCUGAAGUGCAGCCAUGAUCUCAGCUCACUGCAGCCUCAAUCUCCUGGGCUCAAGCAAUCUUCCCACCUCAGCCUCCCGAGGAGCUGGGACCACAGGUACUUGCCACCAUGCCCACCUAAUUUUUUAAUUUUUUUUUUUUUUAGGUAGAAACAAGAGUCUUACUUCGUUGUCCACGCUGGUCUCUAACUCCUGGGGUCAAGUGAUCCUCUCGCCUCAGCCUCCCAAAGUGUUGGGAUUGUAGGUGUGAGCCACUGGGCCUGGCCUCGUUUGUUGAGUUUUUCUAAUUGAGGAGUAAUUCCCCUGUCUCUAAAGGCUCAGCCCAUUGCACCAUACAUUCUCGCUUUUCAUCUAUAAAAUGUGUAGAAGGAACAGAUACUGGUGUGGGGAAAGCUUGGGAUCAGAGGCAGGAGGGUCUGGUUUCCCCCAGGUGGGGCCCCCAGCACAUUUCUUUGGAGGAGGGGAGGGCUCUGUCUGAGGCUCCCUCGUCGAGAAGUAUGUCAUCGCCAAGAACAAGAAGGUGGGCCUGCUGUACCGGCUGCUGCAGGCCUCCAUCCUGGCGUACCUGGUCGUGUAAGUUCUCCGCGGACUUUUGGGAAGGCGGGGGAGGGGCAGGGCGGGUGCCAGCCGCCGCGUCCUUCUCCAGGGUCCUGGAAUUCGCAGGCGUGCACGCGGUUUUCCCGGUAGCUGGGGGUCUGUGAGCCUGCUUGCGGUGGGGGUCCUCUUUGGGUCCUUGGGUGUAGGAGUAGGGUGUAGAGAGGGGGCUCUCCACUCCCCCACUGGCGCUAGAGGUGAUGAGAGGUGGGCAGGGGCCUUCUGGGUUCCUCGAUUUAUCAGGCUUUCCCUGCAGCUGCUUCUCCCAGAGUCGGGUCCCCACGUGUUAGGGCCAUGGGAAGGGGGCAGGGAUGCCAGGGGGCUGGGUGGCAGCUGUCGCCCCAGGAGCCUCCCUGGGCCUUGGCCUGGCAGCUGACCCAGGCGCCGGCAGGUUAUUUAUAAUCACAGGGUGUCACUGCCUACUCAGAGCUGGAGAAACUCAUCAGCCCGGCAUGUUCCUGAGCUCCCUUCCGGUCAACUUGCCCCACCCGCGGCCAGCCUCUCUGGUGUCCAGCUGGGGGUCCUGCCCAGAGGCCUCUAUCUCUGCACCCAGCUCGGCCAUCCCCUUCCCCCAUCCUCAUGCCACCU